GACAGGCAGAUAUGAGGACCUGUGUGAAUAAUAAUUUCCAUUCUCCCUACACUCAUAAUAACAUAUUCUGAACAGCACUGUCUGAGUAUUAUGAACAGAGUACCGAAGACAGACUCUCCUCCUUAUAGCAUGAUUUCUCCUAUACUGAAAAAGUGAUGGUGGAUAUCAUUUCUUGAAGCUACCAGCAAAUUCAAUAUUUGAUGUACUGCAAUAUGGAGUAACAUCAUCUUGAAGAUAUGGGAAAAUGACAAAAAUAUUCUUAUGCUUUGCAGAUGGCACUUACAGGCAAUGAUAUAACCACCAAAUGGUUAUAGACGACUACAGAAUAAGUGCACUGAGACUAUAACUCUAAAGUUCAUCAUGGGUGAUUGGAGUCCCCUUCACAUUCCAAAGCAUGCGGGGACGAGCAUGAUCAUUGCCACAGGUCCCACCUAUGUAUUUGGAAAGUCAGCAGACCAUAUACAAGUAC